rnacentral:miRNA from 1 species
UCCAGCACUUUGGCUGUCUGCC